AUGAACGCUGGCGGCGUGCCUAAUACAUGCAGGUCGAGCGAACAGACGAGGAGCUUGCUCCUCUGACGUUAGCGGCGGACGGGUGAGUAACACGUGGAUAACCUACCUAUAAGACUGGGAUAACUUCGGGAAACCGGAGCUAAUACCGGAUAAUAUAUUGAACCGCAUGGUUCAAUAGUGAAAGACGGUUUUGCUGUCACUUAUAGAUGGAUCCGCGCCGCAUUAGCUAGUUGGUAAGGUAACGGCUUACCAAGGCAACGAUGCGUAGCCGACCUGAGAGGGUGAUCGGCCACACUGGAACUGAGACACGGUCCAGACUCCUACGGGAGGCAGCAGUAGGGAAUCUUCCGCAAUGGGCGAAAGCCUGACGGAGCAACGCCGCGUGAGUGAUGAAGGUCUUCGGAUCGUAAAACUCUGUUAUUAGGGAAGAACAAAUGUGUAAGUAACUAUGCACGUCUUGACGGUACCUAAUCAGAAAGCCGCGGCUAACUACGUG
rnacentral:rRNA from 1 species